CGGGGUACAGCACUCGGUGGCUUGCAAGCAAGGGGCGAGGACCCGAGCGCUGGCAGGCGGCAGGAGCUCAGCCUGCAGGUGGAGGUCUCACAGGUAGUGGGCAAGCAAGCUGGAAAACUCGGUAUUGGCUCUCCGGAGGUGGGAGAAGAUGUACUGGGGUCCCACGGUGCAAGAGUCCCGCUGGCGCCCAGAUCCCGCAAGGCGCACGCGAGGAGAGGUGAAGGUCCCAACGGACAGAAAAAAGAAGAUGCUGAGAGACCAGGAGAAGCGAGGAGCCUGGUCGUCAGUCUCCAACUGCUUAUACUGCAGAUCCUCCUGGCUCCCUAGCAUACUAGGAGCUUCUUCCCAGGGCCCUGCACACCCCGGGAGUUUUCCAGCCCUGAGGAUCCUGCAGCACAUUGGAUAUGCUUCAGUAACCAUCAGGAGUGGAACCAUGGGAUUCACAUCAGUUAGUCAUGGCUACCUUCCAAGCAAGCUUCUGUGGUGUCCCCAAACGCAGUGUCAGCAGGGACCCUGGAAGGAGAGGGCCACGAGCCAAAGCACUAUGAGGGUCCACUUGUGUGAAGUCAGAUGGCCCCCACCCAGAGCUGCUCAUCACUGCAGCUGCAAAAAGAGUCAGUUAAUACCAUGAGGCUAUGAAGACCUACUACAAAGAGCACAAGCUUCUCUAUUGUUCUAGUCUCAAAAAUCCAUGGAAGAGAGAAAAAGGCUGUUUUCAAAGAGGCUAUUUCCACCAGGACGUUUCAUUUCCCCCCGAAAGCUUACAGCAAAAUUACUCGGAGUAGGCCCAUCCAACUGACCUGUAGAAAAAUGGAUCUUGGUAAGAAUAAGAUUUGCAGCACUUCUGGGCAUCCCCUAAACACUCCUAUUGGUCCUCCAAGCUUGAAUCCUUCCUUCAUCUGCUUGGCCCUAAGUGGAGAAUCGGGAAAUGGCAAUAGUUUGAACCUGGCGUCCUUCCAGACUGAAAGCAAAGAGCAGGACCCCUGUGCUCACCUGCACCGAACAAUGCCGUGAACAAGAAAUAAAGUCACAGUGUUGGGCGACUGACAUAUGUAGCAUGCUUGUCACAUACCCUGACCGACACAGGACUUGUCUGAUGUCGUUGAAUUCUGGGUCCUUCUAGGACAGAGACUGUUUGGAACUCAAGCAUGGGGGUGGUGUCUUACGGAUAGUCGGCGUUGCUCAAAGUAUGAAUGAAUGUGUUGAGCUGAUGAUGUCUGAGCCUGGUCUGAAAGGCUCAGGGAUCACAUAGGGGGCAAGAUAACAGGCAGAAAAUGUGCCAGGAAGGGUGUCCUAUGGAGAGAUCAGGGAAAAUGGGGUUCAGUCUCAGCUCUGACAAGGUCCAUGAUGUAAGAGGGGGAGAUUGGGCUAGAGAGAGGGCACAGACUAGAUCAGAAAAGGGAAGCCUGGUGAGGA
rnacentral:sRNA from 1 species